rnacentral:rRNA from 1 species
AUGGUAUCCACUCGGAACGGUCCGCCCAACCCGAGUGACGGCCAAACAACAACAAAAAGACAGGCUCUAAGACUCCCGCCGACUGCCCGCAGUCGACAGCAGUCUCGGGAUUACACCCAAGGGUGCACUCAGCGUGCCCCCACUGGAAUGGUAUCCACUCGGAACAGUCCGCCCAACCCGAGUGACGGCCAAACAACAACAAAAAGACAGGCUCUAAGACUCCCGCCGACUGCCCGCAGUCGACAGCAGUCUCGGGGACUACACCCAGUGGGUGCACUCAGCGUGCCCCCACUGGAAUGA